GAACGGGGAGGAGCCCAGAGCCUGAAUCAGUGUGUGUGUUAGUGGAAGCGUCUGGAAAGGCGCGCGAUACAGGGUGACAGCCCCGUACACAAAAAUGCACAUGCUGUGAGCUCGAUGAGUAGGGCGGGACACGUGGUAUCCUGUCUGAAUAUGGGGGGACCAUCCUCCAAGGCUAAAUACUCCUGACUGACCGAUAGUGAACCAGUACCGUGAGGGAAAGGCGAAAAGAACCCCGGCGAGGGGAGUGAAAAAGAACCUGAAACCGUGUACGUACAAGCAGUGGGAGCACGCUUAGGCGUGUGACUGCGUACCUUUUGUAUAAUGGGUCAGCGACUUAUAUUCUGUAGCAAGGUUAACCGAAUAGGGGAGCCGAAGGGAAACCGAGUCUUAACUGGGCGUUAAGUUGCAGGGUAUAGACCCGAAACCCGGUGAUCUAGCCAUGGGCAGGUUGAAGGUUGGGUAACACUAACUGGAGGACCGAACCGACUAAUGUUGAAAAAUUAGCGGAUGACUUGUGGCUGGGGGUGAAAGGCCAAUCAAACCGGGAGAUAGCUGGUUCUCCCCGAAAGCUAUUUAGGUAGCGCCUCGUGAAUUCAUCUCCGGGGGUAGAGCACUGUUUCGGCAAGGGGGUCAUCCCGACUUACCAACCCGAUGCAAACUGCGAAUACCGGAGAAUGUUAUCACGGGAGACACACGGCGGGUGCUAACGUCCGUCGUGAAGAGGGAAACAACCCAGACCGCCAGCUAAGGUCCCAAAGUCAUGGUUAAGUGGGAAACGAUGUGGGAAGGCCCAGACAGCCAGGAUGUUGGCUUAGAAGCAGCCAUCAUUUAAAGAAAGCGUAAUAGCUCACUGGUCGAGUCGGCCUGCGCGGAAGAUGUAACGGGGCUAAACCAUGCACCGAAGCUGCGGCAGCGACGCUGAUGCGUUGUUGGGUAGGGGAGCGUUCUGUAAGCCUGCGAAGGUGUGCUGUGAGGCAUGCUGGAGGUAUCAGAAGUGCGAAUGCUGACAUAAGUAACGAUAAAGCGGGUGAAAAGCCCGCUCGCCGGAAGACCAAGGGUUCCUGUCCAACGUUAAUCGGGGCAGGGUGAGUCGACCCCUAAGGCGAGGCCGAAAGGCGUAGUCGAUGGGAAACAGGUUAAUAUUCCUGUACUUGGUGUUACUGCGAAGGGGGGACGGAGAAGGCUAUGUUGGCCGGGCGACGGUUGUCCCGGUUUAAGCGUGUAGGCUGGUUUUCCAGGCAAAUCCGGAAAAUCAAGGCUGAGGCGUGAUGACGAGGCACUACGGUGCUGAAGCAACAAAUGCCCUGCUUCCAGGAAAAGCCUCUAAGCAUCAGGUAACAUCAAAUCGUACCCCAAACCGACACAGGUGGUCAGGUAGAGAAUACCAAGGCGCUUGAGAGAACUCGGGUGAAGGAACUAGGCAAAAUGGUGCCGUAACUUCGGGAGAAGGCACGCUGAUAUGUAGGUGAAGCGACUUGCUCGUGGAGCUGAAAUCAGUCGAAGAUACCAGCUGGCUGCAACUGUUUAUUAAAAACACAGCACUGUGCAAACACGAAAGUGGACGUAUACGGUGUGACGCCUGCCCGGUGCCGGAAGGUUAAUUGAUGGGGUUAGCGCAAGCGAAGCUCUUGAUCGAAGCCCCGGUAAACGGCGGCCGUAACUAUAACGGUCCUAAGGUAGCGAAAUUCCUUGUCGGGUAAGUUCCGACCUGCACGAAUGGCGUAAUGAUGGCCAGGCUGUCUCCACCCGAGACUCAGUGAAAUUGAACUCGCUGUGAAGAUGCAGUGUACCCGCGGCAAGACGGAAAGACCCCGUGAACCUUUACUAUAGCUUGACACUGAACAUUGAGCCUUGAUGUGUAGGAUAGGUGGGAGGCUUUGAAGUGUGGACGCCAGUCUGCAUGGAGCCGACCUUGAAAUACCACCCUUUAAUGUUUGAUGUUCUAACGUGGACCCGUAAUCCGGGUUGCGGACAGUGUCUGGUGGGUAGUUUGACUGGGGCGGUCUCCUCCUAAAGAGUAACGGAGGAGCACGAAGGUUGGCUAAUCCUGGUCGGACAUCAGGAGGUUAGUGCAAUGGCAUAAGCCAGCUUGACUGCGAGCGUGACGGCGCGAGCAGGUGCGAAAGCAGGUCAUAGUGAUCCGGUGGUUCUGAAUGGAAGGGCCAUCGCUCAACGGAUAAAAGGUACUCCGGGGAUAACAGGCUGAUACCGCCCAAGAGUUCAUAUCGACGGCGGUGUUUGGCACCUCGAUGUCGGCUCAUCACAUCCUGGGGCUGAAGUAGGUCCCAAGGGUAUGGCUGUUCGCCAUUUAAAGUGGUACGCGAGCUGGGUUUAGAACGUCGUGAGACAGUUCGGUCCCUAUCUGCCGUGGGCGCUGGAGAACUGAGGGGGGCUGCUCCUAGUACGAGAGGACCGGAGUGGACGCAUCACUGGUGUUCGGGUUGUCAUGCCAAUGGCACUGCCCGGUAGCUAAAUGCGGAAGAGAUAAGUGCUGAAAGCAUCUAAGCACGAAACUUGCCCCGAGAUGAGUUCUCCCUGACUCCUUGAGAGUCCUGAAGGAACGUUGAAGACGACGACGUUGAUAGGCCGGGUGUGUAAGCGCAGCGAUGCGUUGAGCUAACCGGUACUAAUGAACCGUGAG
rnacentral:rRNA from 1 species